rnacentral:lncRNA from 1 species
AGAAUGACUUAAAACAAAAAGCAAAAGCAAUACUAACUUCUAACUCAUUAACAACUAACAUUUACUUUCAUGUUAUUUACUUUAAUGCACUUUAUUUUUUAAGCCUUAUUCAUUUGCCAUUGUUCAUACCAUUCUAAUUAUUUAUGUUAAUGUCAUUUUCACUUUGUCCAUUUGGACCAUAUUUUGUGAUAUAUUUUGCUUGUGUAUAUUGUGUGUUUUUGUAUGGUCUUUGGCCAUUAAUGUACAUAAUAAGAAUAAAAACCCUAAAAAACAUCUUGUGUGGACUGUUGGUUUGAUCUGAGACAAUUGGACUUAGAAUUUAGGCAACACUCCCUAUGCAAAGGACUUGGCCAAUGCCAACUUUC